rnacentral:rRNA from 1 species
GUGGGGAAUAUUGGGCAAUGGGGGAAACCCUGACCCAGCGACGCCGCGUGAGGGAAGACGGCCUUCGGGUUGUAAACCUCUUUUGUACGGGAAGAAGGAAGUGACGGUACUGUACGAAUAAGUCCCGGCUAACUACGUGCCAGCAGCCGCGGUAAUACGUAGGGGACGAGCGUUGUCCGGACUUACUGGGCGUAAAGGGCGCGCAGUCUGUGCUGAAAGUCAGCUGUGAAAUGUCUGGGCUUAACCCGGGCAUGCGGUUGAGACUGCAGUGCUGGAGUGCUGUAGAGGCAAGUGGAAUUCCCAGUGUAGCGGUGAAAUGCGUAGAUAUUGGGAAGAACACCGGUGGCGAAGGCGACUUGCUGGGCAGCAACUGACGCUGAGGCGCGAAAGCCAGGGGAGCAAACGGGAUUAGAAACCCGUGUAGUCC